rnacentral:misc_RNA from 1 species
GUGCCAAAAAAAAAAAGUAUUCAAUAUGUCUCUCCACAAACCCUCCAUGAUCAUCAAAAUAUUAUACUGAUGGAAUCCUGAAAAAUUGCCACCAGCUCUCAAAAAAUCUACCACCACCAUAGACACAUAAGAUCAUAAAUUUCGAUAUGAGAAAACCUUUGAUCAUAAAUCAUAUAUCCACAAACCCUCCACCACCAGAAUCUACCACCACCAGACACAUAAAAUCAUGAAUCAUCAUAGAUUAAG